UGAAGCCUGCACUUAAAUAGGGGCCAG
rnacentral:piRNA from 1 species